rnacentral:rRNA from 1 species
GUGCCAGCAGCCGCGGUAAUACGUAGGGAGCGAGCGUUGUCCGGAUUUACUGGGCGUAAAGGGCGCGUAGGCGGUCCGUUAAGCGUGAAGUGAAAUCUCCAGGGCUCAACCCGGAAACUGCUUUGCGAACUGGCGGACUGGAGGAAGGCAGAGGUGAGUGGAAUUCCCGGUGUAGCGGUGACAUGCAUUGAUAUCGGGAGGAACACCCAUGGCGAAGGCAGCUCACUGGGCCUUUCCUGACGCUGAGGCGCGAAAGCGUGGGUAGCAAACAGAAUUAGAUACCCGUGUAGUCC